GAGUGAUGAGGAAAUGCUCCUGUGACAACUGGGUUCGUCACAUUCAUCUGAUCUCAGAUGUUUACGAGCUAGUCUGAACUC
rnacentral:snoRNA from 18 species